rnacentral:rRNA from 1 species
UACGUAGGCAGCGAGCGUUGUUCGGAGUUACUGGGCGUAAAGGGUGUGUAGGCGGUUGUUUAAGUUUGGUGUGAAAUCUCCCGGCUCAACUGGGAGGGUGCGCCGAAUACUGAAUGACUAGAGUGCGGGAGAGGAAAGUGGAAUUCCUGGUGUAGCGGUGAAAUGCGUAGAUAUCAGGAGGAAUACCAGUGGCGAAGGCGGCUAACUGGACAGUAACUGACACUCAACUGCGAAAGCGUGGGGAGCAAACAGG